GACGAACGCUGGCGGCGUGCUUAACACAUGCAAGUCGAACGGAAAGGCCUCUUUCGGGGGGUACUCGAGUGGCGAACGGGUGAGUAACACGUGAGUAACCUGCCCUUGACUUUGGGAUAACUUCAGGAAACUGGGGCUAAUACCGGAUAGGAGCUCCUGCUGCAUGGUGGGGGUUGGAAAGUUUCGGCGGUUGGGGAUGGACUCGCGGCUUAUCAGCUUGUUGGUGGGGUAGUGGCUUACCAAGGCUUUGACGGGUAGCCGGCCUGAGAGGGUGACCGGCCACAUUGGGACUGAGAUACGGCCAGACUCCUACGGGAGGCAGCAGUGGGGAAUAUUGCACAAUGGGUGGAAGCCUGAUGCAGCAACGCCGUGUGCGGGAUGACGGCCUUCGGGUUGGAAACCGCUUUCGCUCAUGACGAAGCUUUGUGUGACGGUAGUGGGUAAAGAAGCACCGGCUAACUACGUG
rnacentral:rRNA from 1 species